AAUGAACGUUGGCGGCGUGGAUUAGGCAUGCAAGUCGCGCGACAAGGUCCGCAAGGACUGGAGGAGCGGCAAACGGGGUAGUAAGGCAUCGGAACGUACCCUCUUGUCGGGAAUAGCCACGGGAAACUGUGAGUAAUGCCCGAUAAUCUCGAGAGAGCAAAGGUCAGCCGCAGGAGGAGCGGCCGAUGUGAUAUCAGCUAGUUGGUAGGGUAACGGCCUACCAAGGCUUAGACGUCUAGGGGGUGUGAGAGCACGACCCCCACCACUGGGACUGAGAUACUGCCCAGACACCUACGGGUGGCUGCAGUCGAGAAUCUUCGGCAAUGGGCGCAAGCCUGACCGAGCGACGCCGCGUGCGGGAUGAAGGCCCUUGGGUUGUAAACCGCUGUUAGGGGGGAGCAAGGGAAACUUGAGCGAGCCCCAAAGAAAGCACGGGCUAAGUUCGUG
rnacentral:rRNA from 1 species